rnacentral:tRNA from 1 species
GGCGCUGUGGCUCAAAUGGUAGAGCAUUAGCCUUGAGCAAAAGGAGCUCAGUGACAGCUCCCAGGGCCUGAGUUCAAGUCCCAGAACUGCCA